ACACCAACUUCAACUCUCUCAACCCUUCAACCCAUCCUCACUUCACCUUCCACUCGAUCCCUGAUGGCCUAUCCGAAACUGAGACCUCCACAAAAGAUCCCGUCCUACUUAUUUCUUGUCUAAAUGCACACUGUUGUGAUCCUUUCCGGAACUGCCUGGCUAACUUGUUAUCUGAUGAUGGUUCAGAGGAGCCUAUUGCUUGUUUAAUCACUGACGCUCUCUUUUAUUUCACUAAAUCUGUUGCUAAGAGCCUCAAGCUUCCAAGGAUGCUGCUAAGAACAGGAAGUGCCACAUCGACUAUUGUUUAUGCCGUAUUUCCACUUCUAUGGGAAAAGGGUUACCUCCCAAAACAAGGUUAGUUUCUCUGAAAACACCUAGUUGCCUACUAAUGCCUCAGGUUUAUAUUCCUAAAUCCUCUACUAAUUAGGUCAUGUAUUUUCCAACUAUGCUCAAACUUAGACUGCUAUCUUUUUACUGUUUUGUUAGAAUCUCAACUAGAAGAGCCAGUGGUAGACCUGUCACCACUCAAAGUGAAAGACCUUCCAAUGAUGAACUCUUGUGACCCACAGGGAUAUUAUCAACUACUGAUUCAAAUGGUAAAGGAAAUCAAAACCGCAGAUGGAAUUAUUUUCAAUACUUUUGAAGAUCUUGAAGAACAAGCACUGGCUACAUUUCGACAAGAAUUUCCCAUCCCAGUUUUUCCAAUAGGUCCAUUUCACAAAUGGUUCUCAACCUCCUAUUCAAGUAGCUUAUUAUCAGAGGAUGAAAGUUGCAUUUCGUGGCUAAAUACUCAAGCACCAAAGUCUGUUGUCUAUGUUAGCUUUGGGAGCACUGCUGCAGUAAAUGAAGCUCAAUUUUUGGAAAUAGCUUGGGGAUUAGCCAACACCAAUCAGGCGUUCUUGUGGGUGGUUCGACCUGGAUUAAUCCAAGGCUCUGAAUGGCUAGAAAAAUUACCUCAAGGGUACCUGGAGGCUUUAGAUGGGAAGGGUCACAUUGUGAAAUGGGCACCACAGAAAAAGGUGCUGGCUCAUCCAGCUGUGGGACUAUUCUGGACUCACAAUGGGUGGAAUUCAACAUUGGAGAGUAUUUCUGAGGGGGUGCCUAUGGUUUGUAUGCCACAUUUCGCCGAUCAAAUGGUAAAUGCAAGAUAUGUAAGUGAUGUUUGGAGAGUAGGGUUGCAGUUAGAGAAUGGGAUCAAGAGAGACGAAAUUGAAAAAACAAUUCAAAAACUGAUGGCAGAGAAAGAAGGGGAAGAGAUCAAAGACGAAAUGUCAAUGCUUAAGGAGAAGACAAAUCUUUCACUCAGAGAAGGUGGCUCUUCAUACCAAUCCUUGGAUGGCUUGGUUAACCAUAUUCUAUCAUUAUAGUCACUGGACGUUGAUCAAAAUGUAUCAUAUUUUCAUCACUAUCAAGUCCCUGAUUGAUCAAAAUGUGUCUGUACUCUGUAGCAUAUCAUCUAUAGGCCAAACAGAAAAAACAGUACAUCAGACUGAGUUUAGAUCACGCAAGUAUUUAUCUGUAGUUCUAUCAAGUUUAGAUCUACGCAAGUAUUUAUAAAAAGACUCCGUUCCUUGUAUUCAGUAUUAUUGGUUUUGUACAAUUCCAGAACAGAACUAAAAGGCUCUUCUCUCUCUUUAUUCGUUUUUCUCUCAUAAUUAUAUAGCCUUUCACUCUUAUGCACUAUAUAUAUAUAUGAUCAAUUUCAGUUUACAUCCCUGAGGUUUAGGGUUAACAUUAUUUCACUCCUCAUAUUUAUAAUUUAAAAAAUUUACCACCUGAAAUUUUCAAUUUUUAUAAAUCAUGCCCAAUUGUUGAAAUUCUGUUUAAUUCAGACGUUAAUUUUGACUUCAUAACUCAUUAAAAAGGCUAAUAUAGUCUUAUAAUAACAUAAAUCUCCUCUUAGAAUUUUUUUUCUACUAUCUCAUGCUAUCAUUUAAUCACUUAACCUUCAAAUUGGACGAAAUUUUAGGAAUUAUGUAUGAUUUAUGAAAAUUGAAGACUUUAAGGGGUAAAUUUUUAAAAUUAAAAAUAUGGAGAGUGAAACGAUGUUAACCCUAAACCUCGGAGAGUAAAUUGAAAUUAAUCCUAAUAUAUACUCCACAUAAUUACAUAUUUCAGAAAAUUUUAUAUGAAAGUGAAAUGUGUAUUUUAAUCUAAUAAUGGGUUCAUUAUUAGAAGAUAAUCAACAGAAACAAUAAGAAUAAUACAGUCAUGAGUCAUUUCAGUGUCUAUUUCAGUGUCUAUGUUUUAUUCAAUGCACCUGCAAAUUAAGGGUCUACAUCUAGCAAACAAGUGGCAAAUAAAUUAAGACUAUGAGAGCUUGUAGUCAAAAAAAGGAUUAUGAUCCUCUCUUUGGCUGGCAGUUGUCUUUGGUUAUCCUUAACUUUGAAUCUCAUUCGUCCAUUUAAAAUCCUAAGGUUUAAAACCAUGACAGCUCAGCAAGUUCCCACUAAAACUCAUUAAAUGAGACAUUUUAAUUACAAACGUCGUUUCUAUGUCGACGGAGACGUUAAAAUGAUUGAGUUCUCUUUCUCUUCCUUUACUUCUCCGCCUUCAGCCGUCUUCUAGUUCUUACUCACCUUCUUGUCAUCUCUUCCUUUGUUCCUGGGGGAUAUUUAUUUUCAAAUCAGGAUUCGCACUAAAGCUCAAAUCGGAAAAGACCCACCAAGAAUUGUAAUCCAAUUUGGGAUGCAGUUGAAAGGUUUUGUUGAUAACCGUAGGUGUAAACCAGAAAUAACAAGAACAGCAGCUGAAAAGCCCGACCAAGAUUUGUUGAUUCAUUCCUUUCGAUUGGGUUUUAAAUUUGGUUUUUUUUUUUAUUUCGAAUGGGCGGCGCUGAAAGUGGCGACCUGGGUCGCGGCUUCUCUGUUUUCAACCCGGUCGGAUGAACUGUUGCCGACGAGGUCGUUGGAAGUGGGUUUGUGGUUGAUUCGGACUUGGAGUUGGUUUCGCUGAAGCUUUUGAUGACAACUUUGCUUCGGGAGCGGCGGCGGGCCGGCCACCAGAGACGGGAGCAGAGGCGGAGCAGGCGGGGAAAAUGGCUUUGGGUCAGAAAUUUGUUUUGGGUUGUGGGUUUGUUGGAGAAGGAGAAAAAAGAUGGAGUCUUUGAAAAUGAAGAAGACUCUGAGGAGUUGGGUUUGGCAUGAAUUUGUUGAAGGAAAUUGCAGGUGCUGGGUUUCUUGCACUCAGAUGAAUGUUGGGGGAGACGUUAAACUGUUGAAGGAGAGAUGAAAUAGAUAGAGAUGUAACAGCGUUAAGCAUUGAUAUAUGUGGAGUAUUAAAAGUACUGUAUUUAUUAUAGAGUUUGCUGAUGUGGGGUUUUAUUAGCCUUUAGAUUUUUCAUCAACGGUUGAUAAUAAAAGCUAAGGAUAAACAAAGGCACCUACCAACCAAUGAGAGGAUCCUAAUCCAAAAUAGAAAGAAAAGAAAUUAAGACAAUGAGAGACGUAACAAAUUAAACUUCAAACAUACAAUUUUGUGGAUCAAAACUGAUGACUAUCAGUGACCAGUCCAUCAAUAGAGAGAGAGAGAGUUGAUUAGAUGGUCAUUGACGGUGAUAACCAGCAAAACUGGAUCCACAAAAUUGUCAAUAGGUUAUAGCGCUAUGUUCAUUAAUAUAUAGAUAUGUAAAGAAAGAAUCAAAGAAACAACACUGGAACAAUUUAGACAUCAGGAGUAGGGAGCAAAGGGGACUCAAACCAGAGCCAAACAAUUUAGACUCCAUUUCGCUCUAAAGUUUAAUGGAGCAAAUUAGGAAAGGCAAGAGGUUGAUACUCUUCCCAUUACCCCUUCAAGGCCGUAUAAACCCUAUGCUUGAGCUAGCUAAUGUUCUACACUUCAGAGGCUUCUCCAUAACCAUCCUCCACACCAACUUCAACUCUCUCAACCCUUCAAACCAUCCUCACUUUACCUUCCACUCGAUCCCUGAUGGCCUAUCCGAAACUGAGACCUCCACAAAAAGUCACAUGCUCCUUGUUUCUUGUCUAAACGCAAACUGUCAUGAUCCUUUCCGAAACUGCCUAGCUAACUUGUUAUCCGAUGAUGGUUCAGAGGAGCCUAUUGCUUGCUUAAUCACUGACCCUCUCUUUGACUUCACUCGAUCUGUCGCUAAGAGCCUUAAGCUUCCAAGGAUGCUGCUAAGAACAGGAAGUGCCACAUCGACUACUGUUUUUGCCGCAUUUCCACUUCUAUGGGAAAAGGGUUACCUCCCCAAACAAGGUAAGUUCUUCUGAAAACACCUAGUUGCCUGGUGGCUAAGAUUUAUAAGCCUAGGUGUUUACUGCUUGAUGGGUCAUGUAUUUUUCAAUUAUCCUCAUACUUAGACAUCUAUGGUUUCACUGCUUUGUUAGAAUCUCAACUAGAAGAGCCAGUAGUAGAGUUGCCACCACUCAAAGUCAAGGACCUUCCAAUGAAUUCUGGUGACCCAAAGAUAUUUUAUCAACUAGUAACUGAACUGGCAAAUGAGGUCAAGACUUCAGAUGGAGUUAUUUUCAAUACUUCUGAAGAUCUUGAAGAACAAGAAUCCGACAAGACUUUCCCAUCCCAAUUUUCCCAAUAGGUCCAUUUCACAAAUGGUUCCCAACCUCCUAUUCAAGUAGCUUAUUAUCAGAGGAUGAAAGUUGCAUUUCGUGGCUAAAUACUCAAGCACCAAAGUCUGUUGUCUAUGUUAGCUUUGGGAGCACUGCUGCAGUAAAUGAAGCUCAAUUUUUGGAAAUAGCUUGGGGAUUAGCCAACACCAAUCAGCCUUUCUUGUGGGUGGUUCGACCUGGAUUACUCCAACGCUCUGAAUGGCUAGAAAAAUUACCUCAAGGGUACCUGGAGGCUUUAGAUGGGAAGGGUCACAUUGUGAAAUGGGCACCACAGAAAAAGGUGCUGGCUCAUCCAGCUGUGGGACUAUUCUGGACUCACAAUGGGUGGAAUUCAACAUUGGAGAGUAUUUCUGAGGGGGUGCCUAUGGUCUGUAUGCCAAUUUUUGCCGAUCAAAUGUUAAAUGCAAGAUAUGUCAGUGAUGUUUGGAGAGUAGGGUUGCAGUUAGAGAAUGGGAUCAAGAGAGACGAAAUUGAAAAAACAAUUCGAAAACUGAUGACAGAGAAAGAAGGGGAAGAGAUCAAAGACAAAAUGUCAAAGCUUAAGGAGAAGACAAAUCUUUCACUCAGAGAAGGUGGCUCUUCAUACCAAUCCUUGGAUGGCUUGGUUAACCAUAUUCUAUCAUUAUAGUCACUGGACGUUGAUCAAAAUGUAUCAUAUUUUCAUCACUAUCAAGUCACUGAUUGAUCAAAAUGUGUCUGUACUCUGUAGCAUAUCAUCUAUAGGCCAAACAGACAAAUCAGUACAUCAGACUGAGUUUAGAUCACGCAAGUAUUUAUAUGUAGUUCUAUCAAGUUUAGAUCUACGCAAGUAUUUAUAAGAAGACUCCGUUCCUUGUAUUCAGUAUUAUUGGUUUUGUACAAUUCCAGAACAGAACUAGAAGGCUCUUCUCUCAUAAUUAUACAGGCUUUCACUCUUAUGCACUACUUAUAAUAUAUAGGAUUAAUUUCAGUUUACACCCCUGAGGUUUAGGGUUAACAUCAUUUCACUUCUCAUACUUAUAAUUUUGAAAAUUUACACCCUAAAGUUUUCAAUUUUCAUAAAUCAUGUCCAAUUGCUGAAAUUUUGUCUAAUUCAGACUUUAAUUUUGACUUCAUAACUCACUAAAAAGGCUAAAAUAGUCUUAUAACAACAUAAAUCGCUUUUUAGGACUUUUUUCCUACGAUUUCAUGCUAUCAUUUAACCUCCAAAUUGGACGAAAUUUUAGCAAUUGUGUUUUGACUUUAUGUAAAAAUUGGAGACUUUAAGGGGUAAAUUUUUAAAAUUAAAAGUAUGAGGAGUGAAACGAUGUUUAACCCUAAAUUUUGAAAAUUUACACCCUAAAGUUUUCAAUUUUCAUAAAUCAUGCCCAAUUGCUGAAUUUCUGUCUAAUUCAGACGUUAAUUUUGAUUUCAUAACUCACUAAAAAGGCUAAAAUAGUCUUAUAACAACAUAAAUCGCUUUUUAUUAUUUUUUUCCUACGAUCUCAUGCUAUCAUUUAACUUCCAAAUUGGACGAAAUUUUAGCAAUUGUGUCUGAUUUAUGAAAAUUGGAGACUUUAGGGGUAAAUUUUUACAAUUAAAAAUACGGGGAGUGAAACGAUGUUAACUUUAAACCUCAGGGGGUAAAUUGAAAUUAAUCCUAAUAUAUACUCCACAUAAUUACAUAUUUCAGAAAAUUUUAUAUGAAAGUGAAAUGUGUAUUUUAAUCUAAAAUGGGUUCAUUAUUAGAAGAUAAUCAACAGAAACAGUAAGAAUAAUACAGUCAUGAGUCAUUUCAGUGUCUAUGUUUUAUUCAAUGCACCUGCAAAUUAAGGGUCUACAUCUAGCAAACAAGUGGCAAAUAAAUUAAGACUAUGAGAGCUUGUAGUCAAAAAAAGAAAUAAAAGAAAUUAAGACUACGAGAGACGUGACAAAUUAAAGUUCAAACAUACAAUGUUGUCAAUAGGUUAUAGUGCUAUGUUCAUUAAUAUAUAGAUAUGUAAAGAAAGAAACAACACUGGAACAAUAUAUUUAGACUCCAGGAGUAGGGAGCAAAGGGGACUCAAACCAGAGCCAAGCAAGUUAGACUCCAUUCGCUCUAAAUUUUAAUGGAGCAAAUUAGGAAAGGCCAGAGGUUAAUACUCUUCCCGUUACCCUUUCAAGGCCAUAUAAACCCUAUGCUUGAGCUAGCUAAUGUUCUACACUUCAGAGGCUUCUCCAUAACCAUCCUCCACACCAACUUCAACUCUCUCAACCCUUCAAACCAUCCUCACUUCACCUUCCACUCGAUCCCUGAUGGCCUAUCCGAAACUGAGACCUCCACAAAAAGUCCCAUGCUCCUUGUUUCUUGUCUAAACAGACGCUGUCAUGAUCCUUUCCGAAACUGUCUAGCUAACUUGUUAUCCGAUGACGGUUCAGAGGAGCCUAUUGCUUGCUUAAUCACUGACCCUCUCUUUAACUUCACUCAAUCUGUCGCUAAGAGUUUUAAGCUUCCAAGGAUGCUGCUAAGAACAGGAAGUGUCACAUCGACUAUUGUUUAUGCCGCAUUUCCACUUCUAUGGGAAAAGGGUUACCUCCCGAAACAAGGUAAGUUCUUCUGAAAACACCUAGUUGCCUAAUGGCUAAGAUUUAUAAGCCUAGGUGUUUACUGCUUGAUGGGUCAUGUGUUUUUCAAUUAUCCUCAUACUUAGACAUCUAUGGUUUCACUGCUUUGUUAGAAUCUCAACUAGAAGAGCCAGUAGUAGAGUUGCCACCACUCAAAGUCAAGGACCUUCCAACGAACUCUUGUGACCCAAAGAUAUUUUUGCAACUAAUAACUGAAUGGGGAAAUGUAAUCAAGACUUCAGAUGGAGUAAUUUUCAAUACUUCUGAAGAUCUUGAAGAACAAGCACUGCUUACAAUCCGACCAGACUUUCCCAUCCCAAUUUUCCCAAUAGGUCCAUUUCACAAAUGGUUCCCAACCUCCUAUACAAGUAGCUUAUUAUCAGAGGAUGAAAGUUGCAUUUCAUGGCUAAAUACUCAAGCACCAAAGUCUGUUGUCUAUAUUAGCUUUGGAAGCAUUGCUGCAGUAAAUGAAGCUCAAUUUUUGGAAAUAGCAUGGGGACUAGCCAACACCAAUCAGCCUUUCUUGUGGGUGGUUCGACCUGGAUUACUCCAAGGCUCUGAAUGGCUAGAAAAAUUACCUCAAGGGUACCUGGAGGCUUUAGAUGGGAAGGGUCACAUUGUGAAAUGGGCACCACAGAAAAAGGUGCUGGCUCAUCCAGCUGUGGGACUAUUCUGGACUCACAAUGGGUGGAAUUCAACAUUGGAGAGUAUUUCUGAGGGGGUGCCUAUGGUCUGUAUGCCAAUUUCUUGCGAUCAAAUGUUAAAUGCAAGAUAUGUGAGUGAUGUUUGGAGAGUAGGGUUGCAGUUAGAGAAGGGGAUCAAAAGAGGCGAAAUUGAGAUAACAAUUCGGAACCUGAUGACAGAGAAAGAAGGGGAAGAGAUCAAAGACAAAAUGUCAAAGCUUAAGGAGAAGACAAAUCUGUCACUCAGAGAAGGUGGCUCUUCAUACCAAUCUUUGGAUGGCUUGGUUAACCAUAUUCUAUCAUUAUAACGUCACUGGUUG
rnacentral:lncRNA from 1 species